rnacentral:rRNA from 1 species
GACGAACGCUGGCGGCGUGCCUAACACAUGCAAGUCGAACGGGACUGGGGGCAACUCCAGUUCAGUGGCGGACGGGUGCGUAACACGUGAGGAACAUGACUUUCGGUGGGGGAUAGCCGGCCCAACGGCUGGGUAAUACCGCGUACGACCUUUCGGGGACAUCCCCGGUUGGUGAAAGCAGCAAUGCGCCGAAAGAGUGCCUCGCGGCCUAUCAGCUAGUUGGUGGGGUAACGGCCCACCAAGGCGACGACGGGUAGCUGGUCUGAGAGGAUGGCCAGCCACAUUGGGACUGAGACACGGCCCAGACUCCUACGGGAGGCAGCAGUGGGGAAUAUUGCGCAAUGGGCGAAAGUCUGACGCAGCGACGCCGCGUGGAGGAUGAAGGCCUUAGGGUCGUAAACUCCUUUUGAUAGUCUCUUCACGGACUAUAGAAUAAGCAUCUACAAACUACGUGCCAGCAGUCGCGGUAAUGCGUAGGAUGCAAGCGUUAUCCGGAUUCAUUGGGCGUAAAGUGUGCGUAGGCUGUCCGACGAGUCUUCCCUUAAAUAUUGAAGCUUAACUUCGAGUAUGGGGAAGAUACUGUCGGACUUGAGGAUUGACAGGGAUGUUGGAACAGCUAGAGUAGCAGUGAAAUGCGUUGAUAUUAGCUGGAACACCAAAGGCGAAGGCAAACAUCUAGGUUUUUCCCUGACGCUGAGGCACGAAAGCUAAGGUAGCGAAACAGAUUAGAUACCUGUGUAGUCUUAGCUGUAAACCAUGUUCGCUAGCUCUCACUUGCUCAGUCAAUAAGCUUUGUUGAUUGUGCUAGUGGGGGCG